rnacentral:lncRNA from 1 species
ACCAACCCGCAACACGCUGUUACCACAGAGCUCUCAGCUGCCUCGGGCAUUCCGCUGGGGAUCAAACACGAUGCCCCUCUGUCAUUUCCUGUUUAAAACCCUCAGGUUUCAGAUCUUUCCUCAAGUCAUCAUUUUACCUUUUUUUUUUCCGUAUGAUUGUGUCCUUGUUCAAGGACGAAGACAGAUCGAGAGGGCCUUCGGCAGAGUCACAAGAAUCUCGAUGAUACCUUCCACAAACAAUGAUUAGAAGCAGCCCUUUUGACGUCAUUCUCUUCACUUUCUCGGUGUUGUUAGAAACGUCUACACGCAGACCCUAAACCCAGAGACACUGUUUUCACAUCCGAGCUUAGACGAAUUUGGCAAGCUUCUUGUUCUGCAUCAUGGAGACUAUGAAAAUUCUCAAAACAGGCAGAGAAGACCAGAAACGCUAUGAUACUGUGGAUAUGUGUCUUUAAAACACUUCGCGAAACUUAGAGGAGAGUUACAUGGAAUUGUUUGUUGAGUCCAAAUGGAAUGACACCCUCGCCGGCUCCCAUGCUGAAGUGGCCUGAUCACUUCCUAAAGGGAAAGGAACGUGAACUCUUUGCAAGGUCAUCCUACGCGGCACAUUUGGGUUUGGAAAUGUGGUGGCUAUUCAGGUUCCUGUGUGUGGUUCUGUGUGUUCGCUUGGAAAAGUGGAGAAAACUGUUACAGUCAUCGUACCUCCCACCUCUCUCCUGCGAAUUCACAUCCGGGAAAGCCUAAGCUUCAAGGUAACGGUAUCAGGAAGCAGGUCAUUGAGGAGGUGAUUCGUCUACGGCCGUGGAGGCCUCAUGCCCCAGAUCAGUCUCUUCUGCAAGAAGAGACCCCAGAGAGCUCCGUCUCUUUCCCACCAUUGGGGGUCACAGCAAGCAGGGCUUGGUGGUGAACCAGAAGAGCACGCUCGUCAGACUGGACGCGUCCUCGAUCCUGGAUUUUGGACUUCCAGCC